rnacentral:lncRNA from 12 species
AUGUGUUAUAGGGACGCGUAUGUGUCUGAGCUUGAACCGGAAAGUCCCCAGAGCUCUCAGGGCAGCCCAGCCCCAGCCCCGCUGCAUUGCUUCCCGCCCGGAGCCAGGGCUGCCCUCCCCCCGCAGCCUCGGCCCCGCUCUCCACCGACUGGCACCCUCCAGGGACACACAACUCCGGCCCCUCAGAUACCUGGAACCACCGAGGCCCCACCCCUGCCGCUGCCACCCCCUCCCAGGCCUCCCCUCACUCACAAUGAAGGCUGGUGCAGGGAAGACCCAGUGAGGAGCUGUGAUGAGGCCACGCACCCCAGGCCACUACCCCAAGGCGUGUGGAGGGGACAAAGGGUGCAGCUCUCCGGAGGGGAGCCCUGCUCGGCGCGUCGCCCCAGCCUCACUGGAGCCACCGAAAGUGGAAACCAUGUUUCCGCCCCACUUUUGCUGCUUAGGGAAUCUCCGUGGCACUCACCCACGAGCUUUCCUAGCGCCUCCCACGUCCCGGGUCCAUGGGGCUCGGCUGACAGGCCGAACCCACUGUGCACAGGCGCUCCGGUGGGUUUGCACCCGCUGCACAGACCCCAGGGCCUGCACCAGCCGCCUCCGCCACCGGGGCAGGCUUUCCUCGGCCACAACCCCGCCUCUGCUAACGCUCCGGGGGCCCACACAAGUCCGCGGCCAAGCUCGAGGCCACGCGGGAGGGAAGUGUGGCUCCCGCCAGGGGCUGUGACAGCAGCAUGACAUCCGGACCAGGAAGAGAGGACUUGAGACCAGAAACUUAAUCUACUGCAAAAGGCUCUAGGCUCCGGGACCUGGAGGAGGGACCCAGAGGAGGGACCCGGAGGAGACUUGCUGCCGGGCACCUGGAAAGCCUUUAGCCGCUGUCCCUCGGCCGCCGUGCCCGCCUCGCCAUACCCAGUGGCAGAGCCGUGCUUCCCUGAUCCCAGCAGGUGGACCAUCCCAGCUCUCGUCCCUCCUCAGCCCCUAGAAGGUCCCCCUCCCUGGGGGGUGCUCCCAUGGUUCUGGGUACAGCCGCCCGUGCCCGUCAGUCCCCCCGGGCCUGCCCCCUGCCCCGGCCUCGCCGCCUGUGUGCAUCAGCCUCCAGGUGGCUCUUCGAUUCUGCGACAUUCUCCGGUGAGACACGAGGUCCUGGGGGGUCCCUGAGGCUGCGUCCACAGGAGGGGGAGCUUCAGAGGAAUCCCGAACUCCUGAACCCCGGGGUUGCACAGCAGGCUCAGAGCAGGGUCCAGGCCAGGGCUUAGGAGGAGGUGGGCUCCAGUCCGCUCCCGGGGGGAGACACCCUCCAGCUCCGACCUGGCCAAGGAUGGCGCUCUCCCCCCGCCCCCCCCUCCCCCCCGCACGGCCUGGUCCCCCAGGGUGGGCUGAGGCUGGUUCUCCGCCACCUGCCUACCUCCGCUCUUCGGAGGCUCCUGUUGGUUUACUUUUUAAAGAUCUUAUUUAUUUGAGGGGGAGGGAGCAUGUGCACAAGCAGGGGAGACACGGGCUCGAUCCCUGGACCCCGGGGUCACGCCCUGAGCCAAGGGCAGCCACUCGGCCGCCCCUUCACGGCUAACUUCUCGGCAUCUUUGCCGAAACAUCAACUUAACACCUCGAUACGUGCAAACAAAACUUUUUAAGAAGCAUUUCCCAGCAGCGCCGAGGGCUGGCCCUGUGCCUCCCGGCCUCCGGUGCCGAGGAAGGCUGGCCAGGUCAGGAGCCAGCGGGCGCCGGCCGUGUGUUUCUUGGCGCAGCCUUCAUCCUGCUCCGGGCUCUGUUCCGCGGCGAUGAGAGACGA